rnacentral:tRNA from 1 species
ACCCAAAUAGCUCAGUUGGGAGAGCGUUAGACUAUAGAUCGAAAGGUCCCUGGUUCGAUCCAUGGAUUGGGCA